rnacentral:rRNA from 1 species
CACGUAGGGGGCGAGCGUUGUCCGGAUUUAUUGGGCGUAAAGAGCUCGUAGGCGGUUCGAUAAGUCGGGUGUGAAAACUCUGGGCUCAACUCAGAGACGCCACCCGAUACUGUUGUGACUUGAGUCCGGUAGGGGAGUAUGGAAUUCCCGGUGUAGCGGUGAAAUGCGCAGAUAUCAGGAGGAAUACCGGUGGCGAAAGCGACUCUCUGGACGGCAACUGACGCUGAGGCACGAAAGCGUGGGGAGCAAACAGG